UAGGGAAUCUUCCACAAAGGGCGCAAGCCUGAUGGAGCAACACCGCGUGAGUGAAGAAGGGUUUCGGCUCGUAAAGCUCUGUUGUUAAAGAAGAACACGUAUGAGAGUAACUGUUCAUACGUUGACGGUAUUUAACCAGAAAGUCACGGCUAACUACGUGCCAC
rnacentral:rRNA from 1 species